GCCUGGGUGGCUCAGUUGGUUAAGCGUCUGACUUUGGUUCAGGUCAUGAUCUCACAGUUGGUUGGUGGGUUCGAGUCCCAUGUCUGGCU
rnacentral:tRNA from 1 species